rnacentral:rRNA from 1 species
CACCGCGGUUAUACGAGAGACCCAAGUUGAUAAAAAACGGCGUAAAGAGUGGUUAAGACACCCCCCCCCCACUAAAGCCAAACGCUUUCAAAGCUGUUAUACGCACCCGAAGGUAUGAAGCCCAAACACGAAAGUAGCUUUACAAAAUCUGAAUCCACGAAAGCUAAGAAA